rnacentral:rRNA from 1 species
GAUGAACGCUGGCGGCGUGCCUAAUACAUGCAAGUCGAGCGAACAGACGAGGAGCUUGCUCCUCUGACGUUAGCGGCGGACGGGUGAGUAACACGUGGAUAACCUACCUAUAAGACUGGGAUAACUUCGGGAAACCGGAGCUAAUACCGGAUAAUAUAUUGAACCGCGUGGUUCAAUAGUGAAAGACGGUUUUGCUGUCACUUAUAGCUGGAUCCGCGCCGCAUUAGCUAGUUGGUAAGGUAACGGCUUACCAAGGCAACGAUGCGUAGCCGACCUGAGAGGGUGAUCGGCCGCACUGGAACUGAGACACGGUCCAGACUCCUACGGGAGGCAGCAGUAGGGAAUCUUCCGCAAUGGGGGAAAGCCUGACGGAGCAACGCCGCGUGAGUGAUGACGGUCUUCGGAUCGUAAAACUCUGUUAUUAGGGAAGAACAAAUGUGUAAGUAACUAUGCACGUCUUGACGGUACCUAAUCAGAAAGCCACGGCUAACUACGUG